rnacentral:rRNA from 1 species
GACGAACGCUGGCGGCGUGCUUAACACAUGCAAGUCGAACGGAGUGGCGAACGGGUGAGUAACACGUGGGUGACCUGCCCUGCACUUUGGGAUAAGCCUGGGAAACUGGGUCUAAUACCGGAUAGUGUGGGAUGGGCCCGCGGCCUAUGAGCUUGUUGGUGGGGUAAUGGCCUACCAAGGCGGCGACGGGUAGACGGCCUGAGAGGGUGGACGGCCACAUCGGGACUGAGUCACGGCCCAGACGCCUACGGGGGGCAGCAGUGGGGAGGAUUGCACAAUGGGCGGAAGCCUGAUGCGGCGACUCCGCGUGGGGGAUGUCGGCCUUCGGUUUGUAAACUCCUUUCACCAUCGACGCGGUAGAGGGAGAAGAAGCACCGGCUAACUACGUGCCAGCAGCCGCGGUAAAC